CCCUUAGACGUUCUGGGCCGCACGCGCGCUACACUGACCAGUGCAACAAGCAUCCGUCCUUGGCCGACAGGCUCGGGCAAUCUUUGAACGCUGGUCGUGAUGGGGAUAGACUUUUGCAAUUUUUGGUCUUCAACGAGGAAUUCCUAGUAAACGCAAGUCAUCAACUUGCAUUGAUUACGUCCCUGCCCUUUGUACACACCGCCCGUCGCACCUACCGAUUGAAUGGUCCGGUGAAAUCUCGGGACGGCGGCUUGGUCGCUUGCGUCCGACUGCUGAAACUUGAUUAAACCAUNUNAUUUAUNGGAAGGUGAANUCGUANCA
rnacentral:rRNA from 1 species